UGGGGAAUAUUGCGCAAUGGGGGCAACCCUGACGCAGCCAUGCCGCGUGAAUGAAGAAGGCCUUCGGGUUGUAAAGUUCUUUCGGUAGCGAGGAAGGCAUUUAGUUUAAUAGACUAGGUGAUUGACGUUAACUACAGAAGAAGCACCGGCUAACUCCGUGCCAGCAACCGCGGUAAUACGGAGGGUGCGAGCGUUAAUCGGAAUAACUGGGCGUAAAGGGCACGCAGGCGGUGACUUAAGUGAGGUGUGAAAGCCCCGGGCUUAACCUGGGAAUUGCAUUUCAUACUGGGUCGCUAGAGUACUUUAGGGAGGGGUAGAAUUCCACGUGUAGCGGUGAAAUGCGUAGAGAUGUGGAGGAAUACCGAAGGCGAAGGCAGCCCCUUGGGAAUGUACUGACGCUCAUGUGCGAAAGCGUGGGGAGCAAACAGGAUUAGAUACCCUGGUAGUCCACGCUGUAAACGAUGUCGACUUGGGGGUUGAGCUUUGAGCUUGGCGCCCGUAGCUAACGUGAUAAAUCGACCGCCUGGGGAGUACGGCCGCAAGGUUA
rnacentral:rRNA from 1 species